GACGAACGCUGGCGGCGUGCUUAACACAUGCAAGUCGAACGGAAAGGCCCUGCUUUUGUGGGGUGCUCGAGUGGCGAACGGGUGAGUAACACGUGAGUAACCUGCCCUUGACUUUGGGAUAACUUCAGGAAACUGGGGCUAUUACCGGAUAGGAUCUCCUGCUGCAUGGUGUGGGUUGGAAAGUUUCGGCGGUUGGGGAUGGACUCGCGGCUUAUCAGCUUGUUGGUGGGGUAGUGGCUUACCAAGGCUUUGACGGGUAGCCGGCCUGAGAGGGUGAACGGCCACAAUGGGACUGAGAUACGGACCAGAAUCCUACGGGAGGCAGCAGUGGGGAAUAUUGCACAAUGGGCGGAAGCCUGAUGCAGAAACGCCGCGUGCGGGAUGACGGCCUUCGGGUUGUAAACCGAUUUCGCAUGUGACGAAGAGUGAGUGACGGUAAUGGGUAAAGAAGCACCGGCUAACUACGUG
rnacentral:rRNA from 1 species